UCCGGCAUAGCUCAGUUGGUAGAGCAGCUGACUGUUAAUCAGCUUGUCGCAGGUUCGAGUCCUGCUGCCGGAGCCA
rnacentral:tRNA from 2 species